rnacentral:rRNA from 1 species
UACAGAGGUCCCAAGCGUUGUUCGGAUUCAUUGGGCGUAAAGGGUGCGUAGGCGGCGCGGUAAGUCGGGUGUGAAAUCUCGGAGCUUAACUCCGAAACUGCAUUCGAUACUGCCGUGCUUGAGGACUGGAGAGGAGACUGGAAUUUAGGUGUAGCGGUGAAAUGCGCAGAUAAUCAGGAGGAACACCGGUGGCGAAGGCGGGUCUCUGGGCCGAUACUGACGCUGGAGGAGCGAAAGCGUGGGGAGCGAAACAGG